UACAGAGGGUGCGAGCGUUAAUCGGAAUUACUGGGCGUAAAGCGUGCGUAGACGGUUAUUUAAGUCGGGUGUGAAAGCCCCGGGCUUAACCUGGGAAUUGCGGUUGAAACUACAGGGCUAGAAUCUGGCAGAGGGGGGUGGAAUUCCUGGUGUAGCAGUGAAAUGCGUAGAUAUCAGGAGGAAUACCGAUGGCGAAGGCAGGUCUCUGGGCUGACACUGACGCUCAUGCACGAAAGCGUGGGGAGCAAACAGG
rnacentral:rRNA from 1 species